GAGUUACGAUUUGAUGCAAGGUUAAGCAGUAAAUGUGGAGCCGUAGCGAAAGCGAGUCUGAAUAGGGCGUUUAGUAUUUGGUCGUAGACCCGAAACCAGGUGAUCUACCCUUGGUCAGGUUGAAGUUCAGGUAACACUGAAUGGAGGACCGAACCGACUUACGUUGAAAAGUGAGCGGAUGAACUGAGGGUAGCGGAGAAAUUCCAAUCGAACCUGGAGAUAGCUGGUUCUCUCCGAAAUAGCUUUAGGGCUAGCCUCAAGUGAUGAUUAUUGGAGGUAGAGCACUGUUUGGACGAGGGGCCCCUCUCGGGUUACCGAAUUCAGACAAACUCCGAAUGCCAAUUAAUUUAACUUGGGAGUCAGAACAUGGGUGAUAAGGUCCGUGUUCGAAAGGGAAACAGCCCAGACCACCAGCUAAGGUCCCAAAAUAUAUGUUAAGUGGAAAAGGAUGUGGCGUUGCCCAGACAACUAGGAUGUUGGCUUAGAAGCAGCCAUCAUUUAAAGAGUGCGUAAUAGCUCACUAGUCGAGUGACACUGCGCCGAAAAUGUACCGGGGCUAAACAUAUUACCGAAGCUGUGGAUUGUCCUUUGGACAAUGGUAGGAGAGCGUUCUAAGGGCGUUGAAGCAUGAUCGUAAGGACAUGUGGAGCGCUUAGAAGUGAGAAUGCCGGUGUGAGUAGCGAAAGACGGGUGAGAAUCCCGUCCACCGAUUGACUAAGGUUUCCAGAGGAAGGCUCGUCCGCUCUGGGUUAGUCGGGUCCUAAGCUGAGGCCGACAGGCGUAGGCGAUGGAUAACAGGUUGAUAUUCCUGUACCACCUAUA
rnacentral:rRNA from 1 species